AUGAACGCUGGCGGCGUGCCUAAUACAUGCAAGUCGAGCGAACGGACGAGAAGCUUGCUUCUCUGAUGUUAGCGGCGGACGGGUGAGUAACACGUGGAUAACCUACCUAUAAGACUGGGAUAACUUCGGGAAACCGGAGCUAAUACCGGAUAAUAUUUUGAACCGCAUGGUUCAAAAGUGAAAGACGGUCUUGCUGUCACUUAUAGAUGGAUCCGCGCUGCAUUAGCUAGUUGGUAAGGUAACGGCUUACCAAGGCAACGAUGCAUAGCCGACCUGAGAGGGUGAUCGGCCACACUGGAACUGAGACACGGUCCAGACUCCUACGGGAGGCAGCAGUAGGGAAUCUUCCGCAAUGGGCGAAAGCCUGACGGAGCAACGCCGCGUGAGUGAUGAAGGUCUUCGGAUCGUAAAACUCUGUUAUUGGGGAAGAACAUAUGUGUAAGUAACUGUGCACAUCUUGACGGUACCUAAUCAGAAAGCCACGGCUAACUACGU
rnacentral:rRNA from 1 species